GCCUACGGGGGGCAGCAGUAGGGAAUCUUCCACAAUGGGCGAAAGCCUGAUGGAGCAACGCCGCGUGGGUGAAGAAGGUCUUCGGAUCGUAAAACCCUGUUGUUAGAGAAGAAAGUGCGUGAGAGUAACUGUUCACGUUUCGACGGUAUCUAACCAGAAAGCCACGGCUAACUACGUGCCAGCAGCCGCGGUAAUACGUAGGUGGCAAGCGUUAUCCGGAUUUAUUGGGCGUAAAGGGAACGCAGGCGGUCUUUUAAGUCUGCUGUGAAAGCCUUUGGCUUAACCGGAGUAGGGCAUUGGAAACU
rnacentral:rRNA from 1 species